rnacentral:rRNA from 1 species
GACGAACGCUGGCGGCGUGCUUAACACAUGCAAGUCGAACGGAAAGGCCCUGCUUUUGUGGGGUGCUCGAGUGGCGAACGGGUGAGUAACACGUGAGUAACCUGCCCUUGACUUUGGGAUAACUUCAGGAAACUGGGGCUAAUACCGGAUAGGAGCUCCUGCUGAAUGGUGGGGGUUGGAAAGUUUCGGCGGUUGGGGAUGGACUCGCGGCUUAUCAGCUUGUUGGUGGGGUAGUGGCUUACCAAGGCUUUGACGGGUAGCGGGCCUGAGAGGGUGACCGGCCACAUUGGGACUGAGAUACGGCCCAGACUCCUACGGGAGGCAGCAGUGGGGAAUAUUGCACAAUGGGCGGAAGCCUGAUGCAGCAACGCCGCGUGCGGGAUGACGGCCUUCGGGUUGUAAACCGCUUUCGCCUGUGACGAAGCGUGAGUGACGGUAAUGGGUAAAGAAGCACCGGCUAACUACGUG